rnacentral:rRNA from 1 species
ACGGGAGGCAGCAGUGGGGGAUAUUGCACAAUGGAGGAAACUCUGAUGCAGCAACGCCGCGUGAAGGAAGAAGGUCUUCGGAUUGUAAACUUCUGUUCUUGGUGACGAAACAAAUGACGGUAGCCACGGAGAAAGCCACGGCUAACUACGUGCCAGCAGCCGCGGUAAUACGUAGGUGGCAAGCGUUGUCCGGAAUUACUGGGUGUAAAGGGUGCGCAGGCGGGACUGCAAGUUGGAUGUGAAAUCCCGAGGCUUAACCUCGGAACUGCAUCCAAAACUGUGGUUCUUGAGUGAAGUAGAGGUUGGCGGAAUUCCGAGUGUAGCGGUGAAAUGCGUAGAUAUUCGGAGGAACACCAGUGGCGAAGGCGGCCAACUGGGCUUUAACUGACGCUGAGGCACGAAAGUAUGGGGAGCAAACAGGAUUAGAUACCCUGGUA